UGCAGGCCGUGUUCCUGUUCAUCGGAAACAGAUGAAUGCAACAAUGUAACACUAAAAUCAAAACUUGCAUGUGAUAUUCCUAACCAUGCACAUAGUAUCGGUCGCAUACGUAGCCGUUGUGUGGAUGGUAAAUGGUUCUCUGAGUCACUGACAGUGAUUUGUGGAGCAACAUCUCAAGGACAAAGCCGUGCACGGACAGAGAAACAUCCCACGGCUGGAUGCAGACAAACGAAGCUACUUCCAGCUCAAGUUCCCAGCAGACAACAUCCCUUUGAGGAAAGAUCUGUGGAGCUUCAGCGUCAGAGCAUAGAUGGGCGAGAAGGUGGUCCAGGGCACAUUUGGGUGGGGUGGACCCCAGAUGAUUGGCCGCUCAGCUCCUCCUCUCCUGCUGGUCCCUGGAGCCACUCCUUCUACACCCUGAUUCACCCCUUCACUGAC